CACUGAAAUCAUUAUUCUUCAGUUCCCUGUUCCAGCUGGGGCCUGCUGCUAUAUAUCCCCGGGUUUAUGAAUGUGGACCAGGCAGAUCGUUGUCAGCCAUACUCAGCAAGGUGAAUGGUAAAGCUGCAAAGAAUUGUCAGUUCAUCUCUGUUUAGUUUAUUUAUUAAUAAAUUAUAAAAAUAUUUG